GAUGAACGCUGGCGGCGUGCCUAAUACAUGCAAGUCGAGCGAACAGACGAGGAGCUUGCUCCUCUGUCGUUAGCGGCGGACGGGUGAGUAACACGUGGCUAACCUACGUAUUAGACUGGACUAACUUCGAUAAACCGGAGCUAAUACCGGAUAAUAUAUUGAACCGCAUGGUUCAACAUUUAAAGGCGGUUGUGCUGUCACUUAUUGAUGGAUCCGCGCCGCAUUAGCUAGUUGGUAAGGUAACGGCUUACCAACGCAACGAUGCGUAGCCGACCUGAGAGGGUGAUGGGCCACCAUGGAAGUGAGACAAAGACCAGACACCUACGGGGAGCAGAGGGAGGGAUUCUGACGCAAGGUGCGAAAGCCGGACGGAGAAACAGCGCGUCAGUGAGGAGGGUCAUCGGAUCGGAAAACUAAGUUACUUGGGAAGAAGAAAUGUGUAAGUAACUAUAAACGUGUUGACGGUACUUAUUCAGAAAGCCACGGCUAACUACGUG
rnacentral:rRNA from 1 species